AUUGAACGCUGGCGGCAGGCCUAACACAUGCAAGUCGAACGAGUGGCGGACGGGUGAGUAAUGUCUCGGAACGUGCCUGGUGGAGGGGGAUAACUACUGGAAACGGUAGCUAAUACCGCAUACUAUCGGAUGUGCCCAUAUGGGAUUAGCUAGUAGGUGAGGUAAUGGCUCACCUAGGCGACGAUCCCUAGCUGGUCUGAGAGGAUGACCAGCCACACUGGAACUGAGACACGGUCCAGACUCCUACGGGAGGCAGCAGUGGGGAAUAUUGCACAAUGGGCGCAAGCCUGAUGCAGCCAUGCCGCGUGUAUGAAGAAGGCCCUCGGGUUGUAAAGUACUUUCAGCCGGGAGGCGUUACCGGCAGAAGAAGCACCGGCUAACUCCGUGCCAGCAGCCGCGGUAAUAC
rnacentral:rRNA from 1 species